AACGCGAAGAACCUUACCAGGUCUUGACAUCCCGCCGACCGCCUAGGAGACUGGGCCUUCCCUUCGGGGGCAGGGGUGACAGGUGGUGCAUGGUUGUCGUCAGCUCGUGUCGUGAGAUGUUGGGUUAAGUCCCGCAACGAGCGCAACCCUUGUCCUUAGUUGCCACCAUUCAGUUGGGCACUCUAAGGAGACUGCCGGCGACAAACCGGAGGAAGGUGGGGAUGACGUCAAAUCAUCAUGCCCCUUAUGAGUUGGGCUACACACGUGCUACAAUGGACGGUACAAAGGGCAGCGAAGCCGCGAGGUGGAGCCAAUCCCAGAAAGCCGUUCUCAGUUCGGAUUGCAGGCUGCAACUCGCCUGCAUGAAGUCGGAAUCGCUAGUAAUCGCAGGUCAGCAUACUGCGGUGAAUACGUUCCCGGGUCUUGUACACACCG
rnacentral:rRNA from 1 species